UAGAAAUCUAGUUACACAUAAAGCCUUCACCAUGGGAGUUAUUAGUCAUGCUAGGCUUAAAGUGACAUGCACUAUGAUUGGACAUUUGCUAUGAGGGGCAGUCAAAUGGGGUUGUGCUUAGUGUGGAGUGGCUGCUGGAUUGUGCUAUGUGCAAGGGAAAGGGAGAGACGAAAGAAUACGAUACGAUACGAUACGAA